AUAGUGUUAAAUAAUUGAUAGGAUAGAUUUAGUAAUACUAAUUCAUAACAAAAACAUAACGUUCAUUUUCUGAGAUUUUCCGAUAUUUUAAUUUUUUUGCGAUAUUCAACUGAAAGGUUUACUAAAGAUAGGUUACUUGACGAAAAGACAAUCGUACUAACCGCGUGCAUUGUUACGAUUGUAACUUGUUAAAAAAAAUAACUUAUUGUAAUUGCAACUGUUUAAUAAUUAUAGUAUUUAUAAUAUUAAUAGUAUUUAUGACAGGAAAUAUAUCGUACGAAAAUAUGGACUCUUACGAGAAUCCUGAAUCUUUGCCAUUGGAAAAUUUAAAAUUAAAGGUUAAAACUAAUGGUGUUAUAGAAACUAUAGAUGCUUUG